rnacentral:miRNA from 1 species
ACAUUCCCCGCAAACAUGACAUG